CUACGGGGCGCUCCAGGCGAGAAAACUUUGCAAUGUGCGAAGGCACGACAAGGUUAAUCCGAGUGGUUUGUGCUAAACGAACCUUUUGACAGUCCUAGAAACACUGUUGAAUAAGGGGUGGGCAAGUUCUGGUGUCAGCCGCCGCGGUAAAACCAGCACCUCAAGUGGUCAGGAUGAUUAUUGGGCCUAAAGCAUCCGUAGCCGGCUCUGUAAGUUUUCGGUUAAAUCUGUACGCUCAACGUACAGGCUGCCGGGAAUACUGCAGAGCUAGGGAGUGGGAGAGGUAGACGGUACUCGGUAGGAAGGGGUAAAAUCCUUUGAUCUAUUGAUGACCACCUGUGGCGAAGGCGGUCUACCAGAACACGUCCGACGGUGAGGGAUGAAAGCUGGGGGAGCAAACCGGAUUAGAUACCCUUGUAGUC
rnacentral:rRNA from 1 species